CCCAUAUUUUUAACAACCGGCGUUUUGGCAGGUCGGGUCGGGAUCAAGGUCCAGGUCGAGAUACAGACCUAGAACACCACCCGCGUGAAGAGGGAGGCCCGACGCUGGGGGUCUCUCUCAUCGUCUCCCUUGCUGUUCGAACCUUGGUGUAGAGGAACAGGAGGCGGAAGUAGGAACUGCAGAUGGAGAAGCAGCGGCAGUGAGGGGUGAAGGGCAGCAGCACUAGGCACAUCGAGUAUGUCUUAAGCGAUAAUAGUUGGAGCUUGAGGAGAUUUUAGGUAUUUGAGGAGACACACGAUAGGUAUGGUAACAUUCCAGGCAAAUCCCUGCCUAAGGCCAAAUAUGAAAUGUGGUAUGUUCCCAAGUGUGUGUUUUUCAAGAUUGUUGGAUCCUAGUGUAUUGUUUGAAUGAUGUAUGAUAUAACAUGCUUAUUGCCUUGUGAAUACAUGUGAGAGGUUGAUUGUUGAUGAGAUUGACUGACUAUUUUUGAAAUAUUACGCAAUGGCAUGUCCAUGCUAGGAAUUAUAAUUGCCUAGGGCAGAUUAGGUGGAAUAUCGAGUCGAGUAUAUUUUUGACCCUUAUUUUGCAUUAGUGAGCAUCCUAACAUGAUAUUUGCGUAAGACAACUACGAGUUGAUCAUGGAUUGAGACUACUCUCUGUGGUUCAAAAUGUUGGUUAUGGUUUGACUGUUGUGAGUGUUAAGAGAUUUUCGUUUGUACUGCCAUUUGGUAGUAAUUCAAAUGAAUGAACAUAACAAGUAUUAGUGCUCAUAAAAUAUGAUCUAGCUAGCUAAGAGUAUUUGAUUGAAUGUGUGACCCUCUUAUGGAGGCGAUUUGGGGUUUGAGUGCACGCGUGAAGUGAACCAACCUCGUGCGGUAACCGGUCCUAUUGUGAAUAUGUUCUCAUAAUGAUAAACUAAGAAAGAAUAUUGAUGGGAGUCGAGUGGGUUUUAGCAAUAUGUUUGGUAUAUGUCCCACCCUCACCAUUGGUGGCAUGUCAAGCUCCUGCCUUCCUAACUUGAGUAUCCUAGGGUAGUUGAACAAACUCCUGAGAAUUCACAUAUACAUGGAUGAUUACUCUACCGCUGUAGUGUAAACGGAUCCAUAUUGUUUUGGGCCAUCACAGAUGUUGUCUCCUGAUUGUAGGUCGCCUGUGGUGUAUACACGCCUAUGUUUUGCACCCACAGAAGCUGUCAAUACACUGAAUUAAAUGUAAAUGAAACAAAUAUGAAUGAAGUGGAUGUGUUUAAAUUGAAUAUGACGUGUGGAUUGUGGUUAUUGAGCGGUUUCUACAUAUUCUAGAUUGUGUGAGGAACUCCCAUGACAAGUUAUAUGAUUGCAUGCAUGUAUCAUGAUAUCAUAAUGAUUAUGUUUCUUUUAUGUUAGAUUACAUAUUUGAGGCCUUACCUUAGAUGGUUAGUGAUUUAUGUGGUUUUCUGUCAUACUGCAAAGGCUAAGCUAGGUUUUUAGCAGACCCGGGUAGCAGGUUGAUUAGAUGGCUCCGCUCACAUCAUACUGGAGAGAUUUUGGAUUUAUAGUCAUGCCGGUGCAUCACAUUUUGUCUCAUUGAUGUCUUGUUUUUGUAUAGACAUUGAUGUCUUGUUUUUGUAUAGACAUUGAUGUUUUGGUUUUAGGGACAUUUUUGUCAUGUCAUUGAUAAAUUUGAAGUCAUCUUGUAUGAAAUGAUUGUGUUACAUAAUUGAAUGUUUGCCUCAUUAUCA